AAAUUAUACCCUUUAAUUUUUUUUUUCUAGCAGCUUUAGAAUUCAAAUAAGUGCUAUAUGUCUCAAGUUAGCUUUCUCAUCCUAGACUUAAUUAUGCCUUAUGAGACUUCAAUAGUUUAAUCCUUAUUGUCAUCUUCAUUGUUCCUGAACCCAUCAAAACAGUAUUUGGCCAUAGCAAAAUCAUUAGAUUUACAAUAUGGCUUUUGAGUACAUGAAUCAAACUAUACUGAUAGUUAAAACUUAUUUUGCAAAGCUAGACUAGAAUGAAUAUACUAUAGAUUAUGCAAUAUGACAGCAUGUAUCAGUUUUUAGGUUAGUUUUCUCUUUUCAACAGAGAAAAAUCUUCAGUGGUAUAUUUAAAGUAUUUAGUUAUUCAGUUUUUAAUAAUACAACAUUAUGAUCUUAGAUUGUUGAUUAACACAAAGGCACACAAUAAAAGCUUCAAUAAAGGCACAUAAGAGAAGAGCUUUCUAAUCUCUACUAUAUGCAGGCUUCAGAUAAGGGAGAGAAGGGAAGGGGUCAAAAAUGUUACCAGCCCAUUUUUCCUAAACAAGUGUUCUGAUUCAAAUAUUUUAACAACUACCUUAGAAGUUGUUAUCGUUUAGAUAUAAAGUGUCUUCAGAAACUCAUGUGUGAGAC
rnacentral:lncRNA from 1 species